rnacentral:lncRNA from 1 species
UCGAUCCACCCUUGUCACGGUUGACCGCGCGUUUUAUUUCGAGUUUUUCUUCCAUAAAAAUCAUACACGAUAUCUACUGAAAUCAUUUUUUAUUUUUCUCUUUCUCUCUCUCUCUCUUUGAUUCUGUUUUUCGUCUUCCUCUCGUGCGCGCGCGAAUCGCGCGAUGCGGGAUCGGUCGAAGGGGUUUCGAAGAGAACAGCGGUUCAGUCAUGCUCGAUCCUUCUACUCGCGAUUAUCGUAUCUCUCUCGGUUUCACAUUGAUUAUAUUCUACAGUUUUUUUUUUAUGCCUGAUCUACCAUCUUUUUUUUUUAAUAUCUAUCAAUUUCGUAUUCCUUAUUUGGUUCCUGUGCUUCGAAACGAAGAAGAAGAAGAAGAAGAAGAAGAGGAAAAAACCAAGCGAGCGAAAGAAAGAAAGAAAUUGAUCUUGGUUUUGUGAAUCGAUCAUGAAAUAAACUCUUUUUUUCACAUUCUUAUUCGGUUGGUAUGGUAUCGAGAUGCAGACGAAAAGAAAAAUUAUCUUAUUCGUCGUUUUCCAUGCAAAAAAAAAAAAAACAAAAAAAAUAAAUAAAUAACAAGAAGUGUGCUGUGACUUCGAAAUGAUUCAGGAAGCGGACAAUCUUGAAUAGCCCGCCUACUCGAAAAACUUGUCUUGCUGUGUGUGCAAAUUAAAUAACGAAGGAUUUCCGUGUCGUACGCAUUUACAUAUAUAUAUACAUUACACGCAUACAUUUUUCAUGUCACUUUCGUUCCGUAAAACCCAUCGAAAGUUAAAGAUCGUGGGACUUCCUCCAAUUGUUUUACUUAUUUACGAAGGAAAAACUUGCUAACGUUAGAUAAUUCUAGUUUCGUAUUGACCGAAUUUAUAUUCGCGACGAAUAGAAAGAAAAAGAAAGAAAGAUAGAGACAGAGAGGGAAAGAGUGAAGGAGAGAGGGAAAGAGAAAGAGAGAGCGAGAGCGAGAACUAGAGAGAGAAAGAAAUCAGGAUAACACGUGUCUGUCUCUGCCAUUGAGAAUACAGUGGUAACUUUUCUUCGCAACGAUAACGCGAACAAAAUCAUUGGCUAAAAAUAUGAAUCUCGUUACAUUAAUAAUUCUUCUUUUGCUUUCUUUUAUUUGUUAACAAUUUAUUGUUCAUUUCGAACGUUCUUUUUUUCUUCUCUUUAUCAUUAAAGCGACAAAUUCUAUUAACAAUAAGACGACAGUUCAUCGAUCAUUUUGCGGGCCCAUCUUACUUUCAAAUUUUACGCGGGCAAGAGAACAUUAUUGCGAAACUCGAUUUAUCAAAGCACGAAUCUGAUUUGCCUCGUAGACGAACUCGUUGUCGUAGUCGACUUUAUCGCGUGUGCCUGUUUCAUUGUAAAUUCAUUGUAAAAAAUUAUCUAGAGAAAUACUGAUUAAGAAAUAUACAAAAAAAAAUAUAUUAAAUAAUAAACGUAGGAACGCGCGCGCGUAAGGUUUAUGUUAAAAGAGUGCCUAACUAGUUCGAUAUGCAGAAAAUGACCCCACUGUCUCUCGUUCCUCUAUUUCUGACGUCAUUGUUCCACGCGGAGGCACAUCUUCCGCGUUCGGUUCGCUUCUCUUAAAACUCUCUCGUUCUAAUGCGUGGGUCGUUUAUACGCAUACAUAUGUAUAUAUUAAACUAUAAUAUGAAGCUAAACGAAGAAGAAAAAUAAGAACGAGUUAAAAAAAUUAUCCGAAUGAUCCAACGAAUCAAUGAAUUACUAUUUCUCGUAUAUUCUAAGAAUCAAAUUCAAUGAAUUAACUUAGCGAAGAAAAAUGUUUAAUCGAUUGAAUACUUUUCUUUUUCUAAUCGUUUAUCAACCUUUUCCAUCGCAGUCGUUUAAUGCAAUGACAUACUUCCUUGGCUAACACGAGAUUUAAUUACAAAGAUUUUCCAAUAAAAGAGAACAAAAAAAUAUAUAUAUAAAAGAGAGAGAACGUUAUUAUUAGAGAAACAACAUUUUGUUGUUCUGAAAAUACGAUUUGCCCUCUGGCAGCGUUUAUCGGUUCGACCUCGCGACCUCGGCCGAUAGGAUAAGAAAGAUGAAGACGAAGGAAUAGCCCAUAUAACAAUAAAUCGUCGUAGGGUCAAGAUACCGAUUAUAUUUUCCAUCUAAGGACGAGAAAACCCGAGGACGAGAUUACUGUCUUGAGUUUUUUCGUAGUCGAUCCUCGGUCGUCGUCUCGGUUCGUCGAAUGAACGAACCUUCCUUUCGAUGAGUAAGCGGAAGUCAUAGUUACGAUCGUUUACCGCCGGAAAGAUUUUGCGCGCGCGCGCGCGCACACGCACGCACGUUUUCCUCCUUCUAUAAUAUUUUCCAUCUCUCUUUCGAUUCGAAAGGUGAAAUUCAUUUCCUGAUCUACUCCAACGCGAAUCUUAUUAAUUCCGAUCUUACAAAAAAAAAAAGUAUCGUCAAUUAUUCGCAAAUCGAUAAAUCCAAUUAUCGCGUAAAAUAAUAAAAAAGAAAAAAAAAGACGGUCGUUUGAAAAUCUAUCGAAUAAUUCCCCUUCUCUUUUCCCUUUCCCAUAUUCAAAGAUCCUCAUUUUCGUGUUAGCUAAAUCGACGAGUUCUUAGAAAAAAAAUACUACUCCACGUUUACGGUUUGUGCACCACUGGUCGACACUGCACAUCAUUAACAGGCCGUACCCGCAGACAAGGCAUUUUGAAAUUGAAAGGGCAAGCUGUUUUACGAACAUCGAGAGGGAGCCGGCAUUAGUGGGAAUUAGCGUUAAUUGGUGUUCUUCUCUCCCUCUCCGUGUCUCUCUCUCUCUCUCUCUUUUUCUCUCAAACUCUUCUGGUCCAUCCUGCCUUCGUUUCUUCUUUCCUCCCCCUCUCUCUCUUCCGUUGCACUAAUACACGAGUAUUCAUUGCUCCCUUAUACACUAUAUACUCAUUUUUCCAUCCUUCUCCACCUUUUUCUUCUCUUUAUUUUUCUCUUCUUAUUAUUUUUUUGCAAGAACGAUAACACGUCUACAGAAUACGAGAAAGAAAGAAGAGAGAGAGAGAGAGAAAGCAACGUCAUGCGUGGACACGCAUGUGCUCGCGACACGUUUAUGUAUCCAACCAAAUUUGCAAGUCUCGGCCUUUGCCUGCAUCUUCUUUUCUCUCUUUCUCUCUCUUUCUCUAAUCCUCUUUUAUGCAGCUUUACGUCGUCUUCUUCAACGUACAGAUGCAACGACGUGUCUUCUCUUUAAAAUCUCUUAAAACUUGUUUUUUUUCUUCUCUUUAUAUUUACAUAGAUAAUCUUUCCAUUAUAAAAUUACGUACAAAUCUUUGACGAAUAAUCUUGCGAUCGAGAAAAACAAAACAAUUUUUCAAUUUGUAUCUUAUUCGUAAUUGAAACACAACGACUAAUAUCGCAAGCUCGAUUUAGCUCGAUUUUUCUUGGAAAUGUUAUCCCUCGAUUUAGAUUUUAAUUAAGUUAAGUGAUACGAAUGCAAUAUUAGACGAGAAAACAAAUAAAUGGAUUGGUAUACACUUAACGUAUCAAAGAUUUGAUUACUCCGUGUUAUACAUCGAUACGUUUCAUGUAAAAUAAAUCACGUUCUUCUUGACAGCAUAUGUUCGAUUAUUUUUCAAUCGUUCAUUCGGUUGAUUCAUUUCGACAAUAUUCGUGAGAACGUUUGACAUUUAAUUGGAAUAUCAAAUAGCAAGGGUAGAUUAGCAACAGGUUCUAUUAAGGAAUUGUGUGCGUUCCAUGAAUGUCCGAUAAACUUAAAUACAGAAAGAAAAAGCUACAGAAAGAGAGGGAGAAAAAGUGGAGAGACGCAGUAGUGGGCGAUUUUAAUGACUUCUCGAGGUCGGUUCAAUGAGUGCUAGUGUUUGUCAUUGCAUCAUUAUGGUAGAUGUACUCGCCGGUUGGCUCGGUCAGCCCGCCAUCGCGGACUAAUAUUUAUUAAGUAUAUCUCAUUUUUACCGUUGAACGAAACGACCAAGUUCCCCUUUUUCCCAAUAGCACGAUGAAAAAGAAAAAGAAAAAGAAAUAAAACGUAUCGGUAACAAGAAUAAUCGUAAAAUAGAAAUUAUUAUUGUGCGAAUCGACGACGAUUAAAGUACGAGAACGUUCGUGACACUUUUUACUGACGCGAAUAUAACUUCCAUCACUACGGCUCUACGUCUUCCUCGUUCCACUCUUUAAUUUAUUACUUUAUAAAAUGACAGAAAUUAUAGAGUGGCACUCGUCAUAGUCUUCGUUGUCGUGGUCGUCGUUGUCGUCGUUGUCGUUGUCUCAUUCUCCUGUCGAUUAUCUAAUUUCGUUGAACGAACUACCGACAAACCGUGGGCGAACUUAAUUAGGAUUUUCCUCCUUUCCUUCGAUCUAACACUCUAAGUAAUCAUAUCUUCUUUUUUCCCUCUCCGCCCCGCCCCUACUCUUUUCAGAAAGAUAUUAUUCGUUUGAAGAUAGCAGCGAUAUUGAGAACUUUCUUAUUCUUGAAACUCAAGAAGCAUGGGAAGUAAUAUUCUAUAAUUAUUAAUCGAAGGAAAGACAAAGCAUGCCAUUGUUGUUGGAUUUAUGUUAACGAAGGACUGAAGAAUAUUAGAUUGUUCCAGAAUUGUAAACAGUGCAAUCGAAAAGGGAGAUAAUUAGUGAAAAAUUAUAAGCAGACAAUGAGUAAUACAUCCUGUCCUGUUC